GUCAGGGAGCCCUGGAGGGUGGGAGGCCAAGGGAACACCUGACCAGGCACCAAGGCCCCUGCCCUUGGGGACAGCUGGGGAGAGGGUGGAGCGACCCCGGCGUCGAGUGUGGAUAAAGCUGUCAUCCAUCUACCCCAGUCCUGCUUCUGAGGGGCCCUCUCUCCUUCCCCACACUGGUCAGGCCAUGAGCAAGGAGGGGCACCCCACAGGGAAGAGGGGGCCUCUUGCCCGGCAGCUGGGCUGACCUCCAACCUCUGACCCCUGACGGGCUGGAGCACCCCACAUGAACAAGGCACCUGUGCAGCAGAGACCUGAAAAAGAAGCAAAAGAAACCCUCGGGGAGAAGCAGUGCCCCUCCCGUGCGGCUCCUGCCCCCGGCAGGCCUUCUUUCUCCAAAUAGACCAAACAUGCCCUCCUGUCCAUCAUCCUUCCCGUCAUGGCCCUGGCUGCACCUCCGGAUGGACCCAGCCCAAGCCCCGUCACACAGCAGUGGCCCGGUCACCCUUGGAAUGGCGAGCCUGACCCUCCACCGCCAACCUCCUCUGACCUUCCGAGGCCCCUCUGACGCGCACACUGCUUCAUCCUGAAGUGAGGGGCUGUGACCUACUCAUCCCUACAUUCACCACCUCCGGUGCAGACCCGGGUCCAGAGCUCAUGUUUAACACGUGUGCUGAGCGCAGCCGAGCCACAGACGUCACCGGAUCAUCCCAUGUGUGGAUCACCCCCAACUGGCCAGCGCUGUGCACUGCCCUCUCCAGGACACACCCAGGCCCUCCAGGGCCCCCCUUCCCUGUCUCUACAUGACAGAGUCCAUCACGGGCCUGGAUACUCAGUAGCUGCUCAAGAAAGACACUCUCUUUCAAUCCUGUCCCUAGCUGAUCUUCCACUUAAUCACCGAGGGUUUGUUGGGCAUCUUGUGACAGGUGUGACUCUCCUGAAAGAUGCAAAAGGGAAGAAAGCGGGAGCCUGGACCAACAAAGACCUGAGAUGAAUGAGACUGAGUGUUUGUCCCAAUGGCUGUCAUCACAGGGCCCUGGACAGCCCAGGGAUGAGAGAGACAGAGACAGGGAGAGACAGUGGCAGGGAGAGCCAGAGAGAGGAAGAGACAGAGCCAGAGAGAGACAGAGACAGGGAGAGAUAUAGAGAGAGAGACAGCUAGGGAGAGUCAGAGACAGACAGAGCCAGAGACAGAGAGAGACAGAGCCAGAGAGAGCCAGAGACAGGGAGAGACAGAGCCAGAGAGAGCCAGAGAGAGGGAGAGACAUAACCAGAGAGAGACAGAUACAGGGAGAGCCAGAGACAGAGACAGACAGAGCCAGAGCCAGAGCCAGAGAGAGACAGAGACAGGGAGAGCCAGAGACAGGGAGAGACAGAGCCAGAAAGAGCCAGAGCCAGAGAGAGCCAGAGAGAGGGAGAGACAUAACCAGAGAGAGACAGAUACAGGGAGAGACAGAGACAGAGAUAGGGAGAGCCAGAGACAGAGAGAGCCAGAGACAGGGAGAGCCAGAGACAGAGAGAACAGAGAGAGACAGAGACAGGGAGAAACAGAGACAGAGAGAGCCAGAGACAGAGAAAGACAGAGACAGGGAGAGCCAGAGACAGACAGAGACAGAGUUAGGGAGAGACAGAGACAGGGAGAGCCACAGAGAGCCAGAGCCAGGGAGAUACAGAGACAGGGAGAGACAGAGACAGGGAGAGAUAGAGACAGGGAGAGACAGAGACAGAAUGACAGAGACAGAGAGAGCCGGAGCCGGGAAGAGCAGAGCACAGAGCGUGGGGAGAGAGCAGAGUGGCCUUGUUAACCAUUUAGGCACCAGGUUUUGGGAGUGGUUUCCAUGCAUGUUUCUUCGACUGUUAUUGGAACCCCAGGAGGUGGAUGCCGUAGUCACCAUUCUCUAGGUGUGAGGGUGGAGGUCCGGCGACUGGCUGCAGCUCAGGGAUUGCGUGCAUGGGGUCUGCAUGGCCUCGGAGCGUGUGCUUUGAACUCAUUGCUGUUCCCCUUGAUAAUGCAUGUGUGUGCACACGUAUCUAUGCAUGCACACACUGCCUGUGUGCACAGGUGUACACGUAUGUGGGCCUGUAUAUGUCUGCCUAGGUUCAUUGAUGUGUGUGUGCAUGUUUGCCAUGCCUUUGUGCACAUGUGUGAGUGCGCAUAUACAUACGUGUGUGUGUGCAUGAUUGAGUGUGUGGGUGUGCAUGCAUGUGCACAUAUGUGUGGGGGAGCAUGGGGCCAUACAGGUGUUUGCGUGUGCAUGUGUGUACAUGUGGGGCACCUGCACGUGUGUGAAUGUGUGUGUGUACCCACCUUGUGGACAGGCCCCAUCAGGAGCAGGAAGUCGGCACUCAGCGGCCUCAGGUGAGGAGACAGGAUGGAGAGAGACAGCAGCGGGGCCUGCAGGGCCCAGCCGGUGCCUGAAGCUGCCUGAUGAGCCCGUCAGUUCCCCUUUGGGCCUCGC